rnacentral:rRNA from 1 species
GAUGAACGCUGGCGGCGUGCUUAACACAUGCAAGUCGAACGGCAAAGCUCCUCCUGCUAGGUGUACUCGAGGGGCACAGGUGUGCGUCACGCGAGUAUCAUCUGCUCUACUCUUCGGUAUGAGCCUGCGACUGUGGCUCUAAUCUCAUAUCGGCCUCUACUUUAUGUUGGAUUUUGGAAAGUUUUUUCGGUUUUGGAUGGUCUCGCGGCCUAUCAGCUUUUUGGUGGGGUAAUGGCAUACCAAGGCGUCGACGGGUAGCCGGCCUGAGAGGGUGGACGGCCACAAUGGGACUGAGAGACGGCCCAGACUGCUACGGGAGGCAGCAGUGGGGAAUAUUGCACAAUGGGCGAAAGCCUGAGGCAGAGACGCCGCGUGGGGGAUGACGGCCUUCGGGUUGUAAACAGCUGUCGGUAGGGAAGAAGCGAAAGUGACGGUACCUGAAGAAGAAGCACCGGCUAACUACGUG